UGGGUAGUCCGCACGAGCGCACCCUAUCCUUAGUUGCCAGCACGUAAUGGUGGGGACUCUAAGGAGACUGCCUGGGAUAACCAGGAGGAAGGUGGGGAUGAUGUCAAGUCAGUAUGUCCCUUAUGUCCAGGGCUACACACGUGUUACAAUGGCCGGUACAAUGGGUCGCGAUCCCGCAAGGGCAAGCCAAUCCCAAAAAACCGGCCCCAGUUCAGAUUGGAGUCUGCAACUCGACUCCAUGAAGCAGGAAUCUCUAGUAAUCGCGGAUCAGCACGCCGCGGUGAAUACGUUCCCGGGUCUUGUACACACCGCCCGUCAAGCCAUGGAAGUCGGCAGUACCCGAAGCCGGUGGCCCAACUCUUCGGAGAGGGAGCCGUCGAAGGUAAGGCCGGUAACUAGGGCUAAGUCGUAACAAGGUAGCCGUACCGGAAGGUGCGGCUGGAUCACCUCCUUUCU
rnacentral:rRNA from 1 species